CCCAGGAGUUCCCCGCUGUCCUCAGGAACAGAAACGAAAACCGCAGCCCCACACCCCUGCUCUGGAGAAUUCCGUCCUUACCUUGCUCUCUGCUUCUUUGCUGAUGACCCCUGUUUGUCAGAAGCCCCAGCCUUCAACACCACCGUUUACAACUUGGCAUUCAACAAAGAAAAUUCCAGAAAACUCUCUCAGAUAUUUUGUGUUCUACAAAUAUCAACUCUGGCAGGAAAUCUUCAAUCAGUGAUAAAAUGUAAGGGAUCUUCAAAAAUUUCAUGUAAAAUGCGUAUCUACUGACUGGACUUAGAUAAAUUUGUGAAAUCCAAAUGACUGUUAUUUCCAUUAGAUGUAGGGGUCCAAAUAAAAUCAGAUUUCAAAUUUCUUCA
rnacentral:lncRNA from 1 species